rnacentral:lncRNA from 1 species
AGCAAUUAGCAAGACUCCGUGGGCGUAGGACCCUCCGAGCCAGGUGCGGGUUAUAAUCUACUGGUGCGCCGUGUUUUAAGCCCGUGGAAAAGCACAGUAUUAGGGUGGGAGUGACCCGAUUUUCCAGGUGCCGUCGGUCACCCCUUUCUUUGACUAGGAAAGGGAACUCCCUGACCCCUUGCGCUUCCCGAGUGAGGCAAUGUCUCGCCCUGCUUUGGCUCGCGCAUGGUGCGCUGCACCCACUGUCCUGCGCCCACUGUCUGGCACUCCCUAGUGAGAUGAACGCGGUACCUCAGAUGGAAAUGCAGAAAUCACCUGUCUUCUGCGUCACUCAUGCUGGGAGCUGUAGACCCGAGCUGUUCCUGUUCGUCCAUCUUGGCUGUAAUCCCAGGUUCAUCAAAAUAAGAUAUGAUCAAGGUACAAAAGAGUUAAAGAAGCUAUUUAUUUUAAUGUUUCCUUGGAGAGCACACUUGUUAUUAUGCCUGCCCCAGCUUUGCCUUCCACCAUGAGUAAAAGCUUCCCAAGUCCUCCCCAGAAGCAGAUGCUGGCGCUAUGCUUCUGGUACAGCCUGAAAAACCUUGAGCCAAUUAAACCUCAGUGAGCUCAAGAUGUCUUUGUUGAAACAGAACCUCCCGAAGUUACAGUAUUGGUUUUGGGGCUCCACACAGAGAACACAUCACGGAAGCUAUAAUUGAGGAAGACAAAGCUGUCAGGACGACACCAAGAGAGUUAGAAAGCCCAAGAGUGGAGCAUUCUUCACCAUGAUUCCACCUGACACUUGGCUGAAAGCAUUUUGCACUAAUUUGCUUUGUGCCCGUUCAGACAAUCUAAAAAGAAAGGAUGGGGGGACAACAAGUGUCUAUUACACAGAAUAAACAGCCUCUGGCAAAUGAAUACA